rnacentral:rRNA from 1 species
AUUGAACGCUGCGGCAGGCUUAACACAUGCAAGUCGAGCGAGCGGCGGACGGGUGAGUAAUGCUUAGGAAUCUGCCUAUUAGUGGGGGACAACAUCGCGAAAGGGAUGCUAAUACCGCAUACGAAUAGAGGAGCCUAAGUCGGAUUAGGUAGUUGGUGGGGUGAAGGCCUACCAAGGCGACGAUCUGUAGCGGGUCUGAGAGGAUGAUCCGCCACACUGGGACUGGGAAACGGCCCAGAAUCCUACGGGAGGCAGCAGUUGGGAAUAUUUGACAAUGGGGGGAAACCUGAUCCAGCCAUGCCGCGGGGGGGAAGAAGGCCUUAUGGUUGUAAAGCAUUUGAAGCGAGGAGGCGUUACUCGCAGAAGAAGCACCGGCUAACUCUGUGCCAGCAGCCGCGGUAAUAC